CCUACGGGUGGCAGCAGUGAGGAAUAUUGGUCAAUGGGAGGAAUCCUGAACCAGCCAUGCCGCGUGCAGGACGACGGCUCUACGAGUUGUAAACUGCUUUUGUACCGGGGUAAAAUGCUCUACGAGUAGGGUUUUGAAAGUACGGUACGAAUAAGGAUCGGCUAACUCCGUGCCAGCAGCCGCGGUAAUACGGAGGAUCCGAGCGUUAUCCGGAUUCAUUGGGUUUAAAGGGUGCGUAGGUUGUUUUAUAAGUUAGCGGUGAAAUACCGAUGCUCAACAUCGGGGCUGCCGCUGAUACUGUAGGACUAGAGAUCGGAUGCAGCAGGCGGAAUGUGUAGUGUAGCGGUGAAAUGCAUAGAUAUCGCGCAGAACUCCGAUUGCGAAGGCAGCGUACCGGCGCCAGACUGACGCUGAGGCACGAAAGCGUGGGGAUCGAACAGGAUUAGAUACCCUUGUAGUC
rnacentral:rRNA from 1 species